rnacentral:rRNA from 1 species
AGCCCAGAGCCUGAAUCAGUGUGUGUGUUAGUGGAAGCGUCUGGAAAGGCGCGCGAUACAGGGUGACAGCCCCGUACACAAAAAUGCACAUGCUGUGAGCUCGAUGAGUAGGGCGGGACACGUGGUAUCCUGUCUGAAUAUGGGGGGACCAUCCUCCAAGGCUAAAUACUCCUGACUGACCGAUAGUGAACCAGUACCGUGAGGGAAAGGCGAAAAGAACCCCGGCGAGGGGAGUGAAAAAGAACCUGAAACCGUGUACGUACAAGCAGUGGGAGCACGCUUAGGCGUGUGACUGCGUACCUUUUGUAUAAUGGGUCAGCGACUUAUAUUCUGUAGCAAGGUUAACCGAAUAGGGGAGCCGAAGGGAAACCGAGUCUUAACUGGGCGUUAAGUUGCAGGGUAUAGACCCGAAACCCGGUGAUCUAGCCAUGGGCAGGUUGAAGGUUGGGUAACACUAACUGGAGGACCGAACCGACUAAUGUUGAAAAAUUAGCGGAUGACUUGUGGCUGGGGGUGAAAGGCCAAUCAAACCGGGAGAUAGCUGGUUCUCCCCGAAAGCUAUUUAGGUAGCGCCUCGUGAAUUCAUCUCCGGGGGUAGAGCACUGUUUCGGCAAGGGGGUCAUCCCGACUUACCAACCCGAUGCAAACUGCGAAUACCGGAGAAUGUUAUCACGGGAGACACACGGCGGGUGCUAACGUCCGUCGUGAAGAGGGAAACAACCCAGACCGCCAGCUAAGGUCCCAAAGUCAUGGUUAAGUGGGAAACGAUGUGGGAAGGCCCAGACAGCCAGGAUGUUGGCUUAGAAGCAGCCAUCAUUUAAAGAAAGCGUAAUAGCUCACUGGUCGAGUCGGCCUGCGCGGAAGAUGUAACGGGGCUAAACCAUGCACCGAAGCUGCGGCAGCGACGCUUAUGCGUUGUUGGGUAGGGGAGCGUUCUGUAAGCCUGUGAAGGUGUGCUGUGAGGCAUGCUGGAGGUAUCAGAAGUGCGAAUGCUGACAUAAGUAACGAUAAAGCGGGUGAAAAGCCCGCUCGCCGGAAGACCAAGGGUUCCUGUCCAACGUUAAUCGGGGCAGGGUGAGUCGACCCCUAAGGCGAGGCCGAAAGGCGUAGUCGAUGGGAAACAGGUUAAUAUUCCUGUACUUG